GAUGAACGCUGGCGGCGUGCCUAAUACAUGCAAGUCGAACGGCCGGCUUCGGUCGGUAGUGGCGAACGGGUGAGUAACGCGUGGGUGACCUGCCCCGAAGUGGGGGAUACCAGUCCGAAAGGACUGCUAAUACCGCAUAGGCUGGAGGGGUUUAGAAGACCUUCAGUAAAGGUGCAAAUCGCUUCGGGAGGGGCCUGCGACCCAUCAGCUCGUUGGUAAGGUAACGGCUUACCAAGGCGAUGACGGGUAGGGGACCUGAGAGGGUGGCCCCCACAAUGGAACUGAAACACGGUCCAUACACCUACGGGUGGCAGCAGUAGGGAAUAUUGGUAAUGGGCGCAAGCCUGAACCAGCAACGCCGCGUGUGCGAUGAAGGCCUUCGGGUUGUAAAGCACUUUUGCGUGGGACGAGGAAGGACGGUACCACGCGAAUCAGCCUCGGCUAACUACGUG
rnacentral:rRNA from 1 species